GUUUACUGUUUUUCUUCGAUCGAUUAUCCCUCGCCAUGUCAACGGCGGCGCUGGUGGCGUGGCUCGCCCGCGACGUAUCGGCCGCGCGAGCCGCCGCCCACUUAGCCGCGGCCGCCGCAUCUCGUGCCGCGCGCUCCUCGGCGGUCGCGUCUCGUCCUUGUGCACGCUCGGCGGCCGUCGCAGCACGUCGCGCAGCACGCCAAGCCGCCGUCGCCGCAUCUCGCGCCGCACACGCGGUAUGUUACCUCGACGACUACGAGCCAUCAGGUGCCUUUUUGACGGAUUUUGAUGAGUCUGGUGACGAUUUUACGGACAAGGAUUUUGAGUCUGAUGAAGCUAUAUGGGCCUUGUGUGAGCGCUGGUGCAAGGCUUACGAUAAGAAGCGUGACCUUGCUGAGAUGACUCACCGGUUCAAGAUAUUCAAGCAAAAUGCAGAGGCUCUUCACAGAUCCAACGAGGGUGCUUCAAAAUAUGAGAAAAUAUAUUGUGGCCCAUACUGCGAUGGGUUCGAUGAGCAAGAGAGGGCUGAAGCUCUGCUUAAGUUUCGCCAUUUUCCCAGAGUUUGCGAAUAUAUAGAGUCGUUGGAGAUCGUCUUCCCAAAGUCGCGGGAGGUUGACUCCCCAAAUCAAUCCCCAUGAAUCACCUUUG
rnacentral:lncRNA from 1 species